rnacentral:tRNA from 1 species
GCGCUCGUAGCUCAACGGACAGAGCGUCUGACUACGACUCAGAUGGCUGGGGGUUCGAAUCCUCCCGAGCGCA